AUGAAUGAGGAAGUCGUACAGUGGCGUUUCACGGGUUUUUAUGGUCAUCCGAACUGGAGUGAUCGCAAUUUAUCUUGGGAGGAUAUUCGUAAUUUGUAUCAUAAGGGUAAUCAUCCAUGGGUGAUUCUAGGAGAUUUUAAUGAGAUUUUAUAUUCCUUGAAGAAAGAGGGGGGCAACGCGAGACCGAAUGGAAUGAUGAAGGAUUUUCGUGAUUGUCUAGCAGAAUGUGGCUUGGAUGAUAUGGGGUUCAUAGGCGACCCCUUUACAUGGAGGAGAGGUGAGAUUAGGGAACGUCUUGACCGUGCAGUAUGUAAUGUACAAUGGGUGCAUAAAUUUCCUUGGGCGGCUAUGAUUAAUGAAAACCAUGUACAUUCUGACCACCGGCCGUUAGUU
rnacentral:rRNA from 1 species